UAUCAAUUAAUAAUAUUUACAAGUUUUAAUUUAAUGUUAGGAAUGUCUCUUUCAUUUAUAUCUACCAACGUAGAAAAAAGGAUUUAAAACUUGGCUGUUCUAAUUCAAUUCUUCUCCAUAUUUCGUUAAUUAAAUAAGAAAUAUAAAUAGUUACAAAUAAUAGUUACAAAUUUUUUCCACGCUAUUUCAAUUAGCAUUAAGUAUUUCUGCACUGUAAUUUAUUAGCUUGCUAUUACGUUAGUAGAUUAACCAUUUAUUCUUUUGGAAAUAAUUUACUGUUAUUGAUCUAUUAUGUUUUUUAUAUAUAUAUAAUUUUUUACAUAAUUUUUAUCUGUAUGAUUUUAAACAUAUCUAUGAUUUUAUAGAAUCUCUCUAUUUAUAUUAAUCUUUAUCAUAUUGAAUGGCAAAGGCACAAGUAACAAAAAAAUUAUUUAUGUUUCCAAUUAUUUACUUAUUUUCACAGUGAAUUUUUUGUUAAUGAUUUGGAAAUCUUUUGGGAAAUUUUAUUUUAGGGGAAUUGUGUUGUCGGAAUCGGAAGUGGGUCUACUAUUGUUUAUGCAGUUGAAGAAUUAGCAAGAAUUGUUAAGGAAAAGAACUUGAAAAUUCCUUGUAUACCAACAUCGUUUCAGG